CCCAAUUGCAGUUGUGGGUUUCUAUAUCUAACGUUUGACCGUCCGUCUUAUUUAAAAAUAAUUAUGAUUAGUAUUUUUGUCGUUAUUAGAUGAUAAAAUAUAAAUAGUACUGUGACUACUUUUUAAUUUUUUUUAUAUUUUUUUAAAUUAGAUGGAUGGUCAAAUGUUGUACAUGAAAUUCCAAAACUUACUUAUA
rfam:Oryza sativa Japonica Group DNA, chromosome 2, cultivar: Nipponbare, complete sequence.